rnacentral:rRNA from 1 species
AACGAACGCUGGCGGCAGGCCUAACACAUGCAAGUCGAGCGGACCCUUCGGGGUUAGCGGCGGACGGGUGAGUAACGCGCGGGAAUAUGCCCGUCUCUGCGGAAUAGCCUCGGGAAACUGAGAGUAAUACCGCAUACGCCCUUUGGGGGAAAGAUUUAUCGGGGAAGGAUUAGCCCGCGUUGGAUUGGGUAGUUGGUGGGGUAAUGGCCUACCAAGCCGACGAUCCAUAGCUGGUUUGAGAGGAUGAUCAGCCACACUGGGACUGAGACACGGCCCAGACUCCUACGGGAGGCAGCAGUGGGGAAUCUUAGACAAUGGGGGCAACCCUGAUCUAGCCAUGCCGCGUGAGUGAUGAAGGCCUUAGGGUUGUAAAGCUCUUUCAGCUGGGAAGAUAAUGACGGUACCAGCAGAAGAAGCCCCGGCUAACUCCGUGCCAGCCGCCGCAGUAA